GCCGUCUUAGCUCAGCGGUAGAGCAACAGUUUUGUAAACUGUAGGUCGGAGGUUCAAAUCCUCUUCCCGGCUCCA
rnacentral:tRNA from 1 species